rnacentral:rRNA from 1 species
UACGUAGGGUGCAAGCGUUUAAUCGGAAUUACUGGGCGUAAAGCGUGCGCAGGCGGUUCGCUAAGACAGAUGUGAAAUCCCCGGGCUCAACCCGGGAACUGCGUCCGAUACUGGAAGGCUUGAAUCCGGGAGAGGGAUGCGGAAUUCCAGGUGUAGCGGUGAAAUGCGUAGAUAUCUGGAGGAACACCGGUGGCGAAGGCGGCAUCCUGGACCGGCAUUGACGCUGAGGCGCGAAAGCCAGGGGAGCAAACGGGG